rnacentral:rRNA from 1 species
CACGUAGGGUGCAAGCGUUGUCCGGAAUUAUUGGGCGUAAAGAGCUCGUAGGCGGCUUGUCGCGUCGACUGUGAAAACUGGAGGCUCAACCUCCAGCCUGCAGUGGGUACGGGCAGACUAGAGUGCGGUAGGGGAGAUUGGAAUUCCUGGUGUAGCGGUGGAAUGCGCAGAUAUCAGGAGGAACACCAAUGGCGAAGGCAGCUCGCUGGGACGGUACUGACGCUGAGGCGCGAAAGCGUGGGGAGCAAACAGG